UACGUAGGGGGCAAGCGUUGUCCGGAUUUAUUGGGCGUAAAGAGCGUGUAGGCGGCCAGGUAGGUGGGUUGUGAAAACUCCAGGCUCAACCUGGAGACGCCACCCGAUACUGCUGUGACUUGAGUCCGGUAGGGGACCACGGAAUUCCUGGUGUAGCGGUGAAAUGCGUAGAGAUCAGGAAGAACACCGGUGGCGAAAGCGCUCUGCUAGGCCGCAACUGACACUCAUGGACGAAAGCUAGGGGAGCGAAUGGG
rnacentral:rRNA from 1 species